GUUGCUUGCUUGCUUUACACAUAUUGAAACUGGACCAAUAGGGAAAAGAUUAGCAUGGCCCCUGAGCAAGGAUGAGACACAAGUUCAUUAAGCAUUCCAUAUUUUU